AUACGGAGGAUCCGAGCGUUAUCCGGAUUUAUUGGGUUUAAAGGGUGCGCAGGCGGCCAUUUAAGUCAGCGGUUAAAUCGUGGGGCUCAACCCCAUUCUGCCGUUGACACUGGGUGGCUUGAUUGCGGUCGAGGUUGGCGGAAUUCGUUGUGUAGCGGUGAAAUGCAUAGAUAUGACGAAGAACACCGAUUGCGUAGGCAGCUGACCAGACCGCAUAUGACGCUCAUGCACGAAAGUGCGGGGAUCGAACAGGAUUAGAUACCCUGGUAGUCCGCACAGUAAACGAUGAAUACUUGUUUUCGGCGAUAUAAUGUCGGAGGCAAAGCGAAAGCGAUAAGUAUUCCACCUGGGGAGUACGCCGGCAACGGUGAAACUCAAAGGAAUUGGCGGGG
rnacentral:rRNA from 1 species